rnacentral:tRNA from 1 species
GCGGGCGUGGCGGAAUGGUAGACGCUAGCGACUUAAAAUCGCUUGGGCUGGUCCCGUGGGGGUUCGACUCCCCCCGCCCGCACCA